CCUACGGGAGGCAGCAGUGAGGAAUAUUGGUCAAUGUACGAGAGUCUGAACCAGCCAAGUAGCGUGAAGGAUGACUGCCCUAUGGGUUGUAAACUUCUUUUAUAUGGGACUAAAAUGUUCCACGUGUGGGAUUUUGUAUGUACCAUAUGAAUAAGGAUCGGCUAACUCCGUGCCAGCAGCCGCGGUAAUACGGAGGAUCCGAGCGAUAUCCGGAUUUAGUGGGUUUAAAGGGAGCGUAGGUGGAUUGUUAAGUCAGUUGUGAAAGUUUGCGGCUCAACCGUAAAAUUGCAGUUGAAACUGGCAGUCUUGAGUACAGUAGAGGUGGGCGGAAUUCGUGGUGUAGCGGUGAAAUGCUUAGAUAUCACGAAGAACUCCGAUUGCGAAGGCAGCUCACUGGACUGCAACUGACACUGAGGCUCGAAAGUGUGGGUAUCAAACAGGAUUAGAUACCCUUGUAGUC
rnacentral:rRNA from 1 species